rnacentral:rRNA from 1 species
UUGGUCCUACGGGAGGCAGCAGUGGGGAAUAUUGCGCAAUGGGGGAAACCCUGACGCAGCAACGCCGCGUGCGGGAUGACGGCCUUCGGGUUGUAAACCGCUUUCAGCAGGGAAGAACAUCGACGGUACCUGCAGAAGAAGCCCCGGCUAACUACGUGCCAGCAGCCGCGGUAAUACGUAGGGGGCGAGCGUUAUCCGGAUUCAUUGGGCGUAAAGCGCGCGUAGGCGGGUGCCUAAGCGGGACCUCUAACCUCCGGGCUCAACCCCGAGCCGGGUCCCGGACUGG